rnacentral:rRNA from 1 species
GACGAACCGUGCGAACGUUGUUCGGAAUCACUGGGCUUAAAGGGCGCGUAGGCGGGCCGCCGCGUCCGGGGUGAAAUCCCCCCGCUCAACGGGGGAACGGCCUCGGAUACGGGCGGCCUGGAGGCGGGUAGGGGCACGCGGAACUGUGGGUGGAGCGGUGAAAUGCGUUGAGAUCCACAGGAACUCCGGUGGCGAAGGCGGCGUGCUGGACCCGAUCUGACGCUGAGGCGCGAAAGCCAGGG